UAGGGAAUCUUCCACAGUGGGCGAAAGCCUGAUGGAGCAACGCCGCGUGUGUGAUGAAGGGUUUCGGCUCGUAAAACNCUGUUGUAAGAGAAGAAUGACAUUGAGAGUAACUGUUCAAUGUGUGACGGUAUCUUACCAGAAAGGAUGGCUAAAUACGUGCCAG
rnacentral:rRNA from 1 species